GUGUGUCUUUAAAAAAAAAAAAAUCACAACUUUGUGUCCCCUUUGUGGUUUGAAGCAAAGAAAGUGGACUUGGCGAUGGAUUUCAAUUUAAACUUUGUCGCUCUUUUCCUCGUCGCCGUGCCGACGACUACGCCGCCACACCUGAGCUGGUGCCUCCCCGCCUCCUCGCCGCACCUGGACCGCCACAAAAACUGCACGCUGGGCCAAAUCCGGAAUAUUAUACCUGGGGAGUUUUUCAUGGCCGGUCCCCAGGGGGGCUCGGACCCCCCCGUCACAGAUGUUUUGUCAUCAUCAGUCCCACCGCGAGGCGCCCAGCUGAGGGUCAGAGGUCAGCGGCGCGGCGGAGCAGGGGAGCUCCGGCGGAGGCUGCAGCCCGAGGUUGAAUGCCGGGACCACGCCAUUACCCUGACUGUCAGGCGCAGACCGGCCGGUCAACUCUUCCUAGACCGAGAGAACGAUACGUCCGUUCCCCUCACCCAGCUGCCCCGUCAGUGCGGCUACGCCGUGGAGACCGUCGGGGGAUACCUCCACCUGGCGGCUCGGUACGACGCCUGCCACGUCACACGACAGAGUGGCAGUUAUGUUUUGGCCCUGCUGUGGAGAGGGACUCCGGUCAAGAUCUCCUGCCCGGUCUCUCCGGUCAAGUCUCAGUCCAAGGGCCCGUCUUCACUCUGCUGUUCUCCGUACGGUUUCAACGUCAGACUGCCCGCUGCCCAGGAGCUGAGCAUUAAAGUGGGAGGAGAAUGGACCCCCAUGUUGUCGGCCCAGCAGUGUGGCUACACCUUAGACCGCCAAGGUGCAGACCUGCUGCUUGCUGCCGCCUUCAUGACGUGUGGCGUCGCAGUCAAGGACGGACAACACGUACUUCAUCUUCAAAUUGGAGAAAGCACCUUUUCCUUGGCCUGCCCUGUGUUUUCCUCCAGUGGUCCUCCUCUCACAGAGACCGUGGAGUCCUUCCCUUGGGAUCCGCCCUUCUACCUAGCCCCGCCUUUCUACCCCCACCCACCCAAUCAUGACCACAAUUCCGGUCCCCAGGGGGAAGAGAUCCCUCCAAUCUUCACAUCUCCAAGUCCUGAACUGGCUUUGGAACCCGUCGUGGAUGGACAGCCGCUCCCUCUUGACGCCCCCCAGCCAGACCCUGAAGACCACCGUUCUAUGGAGGAUUCAUUGGCGCACAGUUCUCAGGCGUCAACGGAUGACGUUUUUGGUUCAAGUCCGGCGCAUUCGGAUUUACAACGGCUGCAUGGCGACGCCGCUUCACCAGUUCAGGUUGACGCCCGGUCUUUCCAACGCCCAGGCAAUGCUUUCAAUCCAUACUACCACUACUACCAUCACCCCAAAGUCCCUAGUCUUCCUGAAGGUUCAGAUCCGGGUCUUGUGGCUCCUUUCUCUCACUUACCAUACCACUACUACUUUCCAAGUAUUACUUGGGCUGGGUCAUUACCAAAAAGUGAUACACAAUCCUCCGAUGAUCCUGUCCAAAGCACAAUAAGCAGACCGGUUCCUACAUCUCCAUGGCCUUCAGUCCAUGACUCAGAUCCAUCUUUAGUGGAGACCGGUACAAAUGAAAAGGUUGAUCUCCAAGAAUCUCAUUCUGAAGGCAUCCAAAGUCCAAAAUCCUCUACCUCUGGUGAAAAGGUAGAAAUGAUGAACGACAUGGAGACCGAGUCCGUGCCUGCGACUCCAGAUCUCCGGUCACUGGACGCUCCUUAUCCUGAUCAGUCUUCAUUUCCUUCCCCUUGUAAAUAUCACCAUGAUCCGAAUCCCUACGAUCAGACUCAUUCGUCCGAAGAAACCGUAGACCCGCAUCUUCCCAACCACUCUCCGGUCGAUCAAUCCAACACCCCGACCACGGACGAGACGUACGAUCUUCAUGAAGUGCAUCCUUACUUCUACUCCUCGGCCAACGAUGAAGUGAACUCUGAAGAAGGCGUGAUCUCGGACUUGUCCCAGUCUUGGCCUCCUGACGUGUCUUUGGGUCAACUGAGUCUUAACCCUGAGACGGGCAUUCCUCAGCCACCACAUGGUCAUUUCUACGAUCUCUAUCCCUCAGAUAUCAGUCAGCAGUAUCUCCAACUUUUUCAGCACCCUGGUGUGGAAGCAGAUGUGGACCUCGAUGAAACGAUCGACUGCAUGGAGGGACUUGAGUUUUUCCUCGUGACGCCCGGCGAGGCGGUGCAGAUGACCUCUGACCCCGGCGUCCACACAGCGGUCCUGCGUGCCUGCGACGCCAGCGAGCAGGUCUCGGACUUCCAUUCUCCUCAGGAAGAUUCUGCUGAUGAAAACACACCUGACAGGUGGCUUACGGACUGGAGGUGGCCUGCAGCGUCCCUGGAGGAUCCCAGUCUCCCUGGAAUCCAGUCCCCUGGACCUGCACCUCUUCACCAUCUACCAAGCACCGCCACUGUGCAGCUGAGGAUUGCUAAAGACGAGUCCUUUGGGAGCUACCACCCUGAGGCCCGCCUGCCGCUCAGCUCCCUGCAAGGAAGGCGGGUCUACCUGGAGGUGGGACUGCUGGAGCCCCAGGAUCCUGGUCUGCAGCUGCUGGUUCACUCCUGCCUGGCCUACACCCGAGGUGCAUCCACCCAGCCCGCGCUGGUCUAUGACGGCUGUCCCGGCCGCGGUGAUUCUCAGCUGCUUCCUUCCCCACACGGCAACCCUCGCCACACCCGGAGGAUCUCGGUCUCUCACUUCCUGCACACUUCUUCUCUCAACUACGGCAACCUGUCUCACUUGGAGGACCCUGAGUCCGUCCUUAGAUCUACUUCCUGUGUGUGACACAAGUGUGCUCUACCACAGAAGGCGACUGCGUUGUUGGCUGCAUCAACAGUCCCCAUAAUGAUGUAUGAACAUGAAAAUAAAAAGACUAAAUACA